GACGAACCGUGCGAACGUUGUUCGGAAUCACUGGGCUUAAAGGGCGCGUAGGCGGCUGCGCAAGUCCGGGGUGAAAGCCCCCAGCUCAACUGGGGAAGUGCCUUGGAUACUGUGCAGCUCGAGCGAGGUAGGGGUCGUGGGAACUUCCGGUGGAGCGGUGAAAUGCGUUGAUAUCGGAAGGAACGCCGGUGGCGAAAGCGGCAUCCUGGACCAACACUGACACUGAUGAGCGAAAGCCAGGGGAGCAAACGGG
rnacentral:rRNA from 1 species